rnacentral:rRNA from 1 species
UACGUAGGCAGCGAGCGUUGUUCGGAGUUACUGGGCGUAAAGCAUGCGUAGGCGGUUUUGUAAGUUUGGUGUGAAAUCUCCCGGCUCAACCGGGAGGGUGCGCCGAAAACUGCAAGGCUGGAGUGUGGGAGAGGUAGGCGGAAUUCCUGGUGUAGCGGUGAAAUGCGUAGAUAUCAGGAGGAACACCUGUGGUGUAGACGGCUUACUGGACCACGACUGACGCUGAGGCACGAAAGCGUGGGGAGCAAACAGG